CCCCAUACCAUUGACUAUUGCAUGAUAGUUAAUUGAAAGGUGCAAAUGCACCACUACCAGAUGGACCUGCGUUGUAUUAGCUAGUUGGUGGGGUAACGGCUCACCAAGGCGACGAUACAUAGCCGACCUGAGAGGGUGAUCGGCCACACUGGGACUGAGACACGGCCCAGACUCCUACGGGAGGCAGCAGUAGGGAAUCUUCGGCAAUGGACGGAAGUCUGACCGAGCAACGCCGCGUGAGUGAAGAAGGUUUUCGGAUCGUAAAGCUCUGUUGUAAGAGAAGAACGAGUGUGAGAGUGGA
rnacentral:rRNA from 1 species